UGUAAUGGUCGUGUCUACUCUCCCGGAUUCCAAUACAGAUUGUAUUCUCACUUCUUCAAAAUUGGCGAUAAUUUUGUGCGGAGAUUCGGUCGUCGUACGGACAUAGUAAUCGUCAUGAAAGGUGUGAAGAAAUCAAAGUUCCCUGUGCGAACUAGUAAUAAUCCGCCACGGAAUUCGCCUAGUUUGGAUGAUUUUUCAGAUACUAUCAUUCAGUUUGAGCCUGGCUGCGCUGAAUCGAAAUUUUUUGAAGCGUGGGUGCAGAGGGAGCUGGCGAAUGAUAAUUCAGUUUAAAGUGUCGUAAGAAACAGAUCGCAUCCACAAGUAAUUGGUUAAACUUAUUGUCGUAGUGUAUUGUAACCAAGAUUGUGAAUUGUUACUGUAAGAAAUGUAAAAUUUUUAUUUUUAUUACUCUGAAACAGUACUUUAUAUGCAAGUGCGGUACUAGUUUAUUCAAAAAAUGUUACCUUUUGCUUUGUGUUGUCAUUGCGCUCCCGAUGCUAAAUUUCAGUGAUGUAGAAGUUGUGUGACGGAACAAUUGUAAGAAAUUUCAUUAUUGCUUGUUCUUUUGUGGUCAACAAUGAUGAAUAUUAUUUAUUAAUAAACGAGAAAUUGUGUCAUA